GUCCUGGGGCUAGACAUGAGGAGUAUGUUUUUUAUAAUAGUAAUACACAAAGGUAACUGUAACACUUAAUACCAUGUUUGCUAUUAUCCAAAGUAGUUGCUCUACACACUGUACAUUCCUCCAUAUUUACAGGAGGAGAGUUUACUGACAGUCUGAAGGUACUCUCCUGAAUGUCAUGAACGUCAUUUAUAAAAGAUUCGCUAAAGAAUUUUAGAGAAACUACAUAGACCAGAUUCUACAGAGUUCAUCAGUUUUAUAGUAGGAGUACAGUACUGAGAACAAGAAGUGAACAUCUGCCAAACAUAAAGGGCCCAGUGGAGGAGGUGCACAGUACAGGAAGACUUACCUCGUUGGCAGCUGAUAAUGAUUCUUCACUGGCCAAGCUGAAGCAGUUGUUGGCUCUGACAGUGUGGCCUGGAAUGGAAGUCACUCGGUACGUCACCCGGUGGACCGGUUCCAGCGCAGCGCUACAGUAAGCCGAACUCCACCCCCCAGUCACUGCCUCCAAACCAAGAGCCUCUAACCCAGGUGACACACUCUGCACCUUACCAAGUUGGUGGAAGCUGAGGUGAUAUUGGACACACAGCUGGCAUAUAACCAGCUGCCCUACAUGGAAGCGCUGGUGUUGUGUUCAGCCGUGGCAACCAAACAAAGUGACCGGAAGAAGCUGGUGACUGACGCUCACUCGACAGUGUGGGAGCUGUGUACAGACACCCACCUCUUCUUUCUCUUCAUUCAAAUAUCUAAGAUGAUCUCAAAGCAAGCGGGACACUCGGGUUGGGGUCGUGGGCUGUGUGGUACCUGAGCUGGGAGCCUCGACGCCUUGGAGUUCACACGACACUACAGCGCGUACUGGUGGACCCACCGCGACGUCGUCAGAUUAGCACACUUGAAGCUUCGUGUUGGUCACACAAAAUAUAUAUAUGUGUAUAUAUAUUAGUUCUUGAUUUGAUAAGUGGCAGGACUGAAGUAAACACUUUAUUGGUUUUAUUUUAUUGUAGAAAAAUAUAGUUUC